UACGUAGGGGGCAAGCGUUGUCCGGAUUUAUUGGGCGUAAAGAGCGUGUAGGCGGCCAGACAGGUCCGUUGUGAAAACUCGAGGCUCAACCUCGAGACGCCGAUGGAAACCGUCUGGCUAGAGUCCGGAAGAGGAGAGUGGAAUUCCCGGUGUAGCGGUGAAAUGCGCAGAUAUCAGGAGGAACACCAAUGGCGAAGGCAGCUCGCUGGAACGGUACUGACGCUGAGGCGCGAAAGCGUGGGGAGCGAACAGG
rnacentral:rRNA from 1 species